GAAAUAUGGUAUCAAAAUUAAGCUUCUAACUUAAAUUUUAAGCGAUUAAAUUUCGUUUAUAUUUCU
rnacentral:tRNA from 1 species